GGGGUGGCAAUCGGGUCGGGUCAAGCAUAAACAGGUCGGGUCAGAUACAGAUCGGGUCAGAAAAUCAUAAACCUGAACCUGACCUGUUUAUUAAACAGGUCAGAAAUUACAACCUGAACCCGACCUGUUUAUUAAACAGGUAACCCGACCCGACCCGUUUAACCUGUUUAAUUAACGGGUAACCUGUUUGCCCAACCCGACCCGACCUGUUUAACCUGUUUGCCCAACCGACCCGUUUAAACCUGUUUAACCUGCCCAACCCGACCUGUUUAACCUGCCCAACCCAACCUAUUUAACCUGCCCAACCCGACCCGUUUAACCUGUUUGAACCUAUUUAACCUGCCCAACCAAACCUGUUUAAUAAAUAGGUAACCACUAACCAAUAACCACUUAGGCUCUUAGCCUUAGACCUUAGCCCAACCCAAUCCGAUCCAACCUGUUUUAUACAUUAAGCAGCACAAGAAAAAAAAGAAGGUAAAUUUAGAAAACAUUACAAAAAUCUUGUCCCAACAUCAUUGACAUUAAAAAAGCAUUCAAUCUUUACAAAAAGCUGAACAUAAGGAAUACAAGUAUUUAUUCAUUCAUCUAAUACCAACAAUAUUCAAAAAAUAUUUAAUCUUUACAAAGAUAAGGAAUACAAGUCAAAUCAUCCAAAUUUACAUAUGGAAUAGCCCGAAAAGAAAAUCUGCUUCACAUAGAACAAAUAUCAAUAUACAUGAUGGCCUCUGAUGCUAGGAAAGCAUGGUACUUCUUAGCAAGCUUUUUGACCAGCUUCUUGUUUUUAUUCAUUUUUUAGUGCUUCAACAUCC
rnacentral:lncRNA from 1 species